CAGGGAGACAACAAAAUGUAAAUAUUAAUUUUGUCACCUUAGGUCGAUCGGUAUCUCAGAUUCUUAUUUUUUAGGAAUUUCAGUUUCUAAGUUUUUUCUAGGUCACACCCAUCACUUUUUCCUGGGCCAUUAGCUCAGGUGGUUAGAGCGCACCCCUGAUAAGGGUGAGGUCCCUGGUUCAAGUCCAGGAUGGCCCAUAUCUCUAUGUUGGGGGUAUAGCUCAGUUGGUAGAGCGCCUGCUUUGCAAGCAGGAUGUCAGCGGUUCGAGUCCGCUUACCUCCACUGAAUACCACCUCUUAACAUAUAUUUAAAGAGGGAAAUUGUUUUGAGUCGUGUCCAAAUUUGCUCUGAGCGAAUCUAGCUUCCUAUUUUAUUCAAUAAAUAAGAUGCUGGACUCAUUGAAUUUUUUUUCAUUGUUUUCAGAGAACCUUGACAACUGCAUAGAUUAUUUUUGAAGACAAUAAGCAUCUUUAAUGAUGCAGAUUUAUUAUUUGUGCGAAUGCAUUAAAUAACAAUUCUAUUAAGCUGAUGCUUCAAUUAUUGAAGUUAUU
rnacentral:tRNA from 1 species